rnacentral:lncRNA from 1 species
AUGGACAGAGGAGCCUGGUGGGCUACAGUUCAUGGGUCACAAAGAGCUGGACACAACUGGAGUGACUUAGCACACACGCACAUGCAUUAUACAGCUAAGAUCCCAGAAAUGAAUAAGAGGGAAAUUUAUUGGAGAACUUUAUUUGGACUGGAGGACCCAUUUGUACAGGCUGUCUCUGGCAGAAGAAUACACUUCAUCAAACGUGUCUGCAGGUUGUCAAACUCAGGGAGGUUUGGGGACCCUCUGAGGCUGUCAUGGUCAACAAGAAGAUUUUCUGUCGGGCUUUGCCAUCACUCACCCUGAGGAAAUAAUCACUCACUACAUUCUGCAUGUUCUCAUGAUAGAGCUCUCCAUUUGAGAGAAAAGAGCCAUUUUAUCAAAGGACAAUAUAGCCCUUCUCUGGGUCCAUGUAGCUUCCAUUAUCAGACCAUAAUAAAUCAUAUUUAUGUUCUCAGUUAAUAAGACUGAUUACAACGCAGGUUUCAGACGUGGGAAAAGCAAAGCAGGUUGAAAAGAUGUUUUAAUGAAAAUAUGAUAAGAAAACAGCUUCUUGUGAACAUUCAGUGCUCUUAUUUGUAAUGAUUACAGACAAUUUUUGAUGCAUGUUUAGCAAUGGUUUAAGCUGCAUAAAUUGGCUCACUGGUAGAUAAGUAAAAAUAAUAAGGAAAAAAAAUCAUGAAAUCAUCUUAUGUUGUCUAGAAUCAUUAUGUACAUAACAAGUGCAAAAUGAGUCUAAUGUAUAUGCUGGGGAUGGAGGGAAAACAGAUUGCUCAGGAAAAGCAUGGUUUGGGUAUUAUUCAAAAUGAUUUAGAAAUUUUCUCCUCAUCUCACUUAUUAAAGUUGUGUGUGCUCUGAAAUUUGGGGGUGCCAGAUAUUAAUUUCAUCUUGUAAAUGAAUCAACUCUACCUCUUUUAUUCAAUCUCAAUGUUGUUUUUCCCUUUCUUUCUUUUUUUUCCCCUCCAUGGAGCUCAAUACAGAGACAUAUAUUUCCUACCCAAUGUUUGGACACAAUUGCCAUUAGUGCUAAUGGGAGUUAAGUGCCUACUUGGGAGGAAAACAGAACCCAAAGUUUAAUAUUGAAAAGUAUCUUAUUAAAAAGGUCUGGACAUUUUUAGCUUCAGUGAGUUCAAU